UAAGUUAGGACACAAUCUUUCCGAGGAUCCCUAGUUCCGAGUGUCGCAUUAUUUUGAAAAAUUUUGAAUAAAAUAAAAUAAAAAAUAACAAAGAGGAUCAGAUUGAGUUUUGCGCAAAAUAAAAAGGCAAAAAAUGAGAAUAAAACAAAACGGAGGGCCAAAAUAUGAUGCGCGGAUAACUUGGGGGACCAAAACUGCAAAUAAACCAAAGCCCCAAAACGC
rnacentral:lncRNA from 1 species